GUAUCUUAUCUAAGAAUACAAAAGAAGGAGACUUGGAAACUAUAUAUGAAUACAGUCAAGACAAUAGUUUGCCUCUUUCAGGAUCUGAAAAUGGUCCCUGACAUUGGAUGCAGUGAUCAUGCAAAGAAUACAAAAGAACCUCUUAUAUCUACUGACUGCUUCUCUGCUGAAAUUGUGGCAUUGGCAUCUUUAUAGAAGAAUAAAUAAAUGGCUCAAUGUAAGCAAUAAGUGAUCUAGCGACAAUAAAGAAACAAACGAACGAAAACUCAGAAAGUUAUUGUGACACUCAAAGCUGAUUUCCUCAAUCACAUUGGUUUUGAAAACAGACAAAAUAUGGGGUAUAACAUUUAGAAAACUGACUUUUAAAAACAAACCUGCCAUAUGCCACACACCCAAA
rnacentral:lncRNA from 1 species